AUUCAGAGUAAACAGGCAUUUGAGAGUGAGAAGAAAGAGGGUAAAUAGAACAUUGAUGGGGAGAAAGAAGUUGGCCUUCUGUAUUUGUUCAAAAAAAGAAGAAAUACUUGGUACAUUGGAAAGGUCUUAUCUACCCAUGCCAAGGCCCUGACUAACUUUCUCCAUUCUGAGCAUGCAACCAAUAAAAAAGCAGAAGUCUCUAGCUUUAGAGAGAUGUAGAAUGUAAAGGUUUCUAAUGUAUCCCAGGAGACACUCCCGGAAAGAGCACCCUUGAAUCUGGUCAAUGUAAAGAAAUCUGUUCAGCUGGUAUUCCAUGGCAGUUCUCAGUGACAUCAUCAGUAGGUCCUGCCUGAAAAAGCUCUUGUAUCCUGGAGAGCCCUAACUUCUUUUCUGACAUCACAAGUGUCUUCUUGACAGCAACUGAAUCUCGGAUAUUCCCUCUGUUUAUCUAUGUUUUACUAAUUGGCCUCUAAUUCAGAGUAAACAGCCAUUUGGGAUGGAGAACAAAUAGGUUGAAGAGAUCAGAGAUGGGGAGAAGGAAGCUGGCCUUCUGCUUGGUAUAAAGUAAAAGAAGAAAUAUGUGGUUCUUGGGAAAACACCCUGGGAAGAUGGCUUUAAUUCUUUUGUUCUCUAGGUUCAACGAGCUCUUGGAGAAGUUGUUGACCAUCCUAAAGACCUUUGGGCAGAUGGAAAAGUUUUUAAAUACCACUUUUUAGAUUUCGAUUGUCCUGGGGAUUGUAUGGCAGAUGGUAAAUGUUUCCCAGGAAGAGUGCUAGAGACAGAUUGAUUUUUGGACACUUUAGAUAACAUGGGAUUUUUCUGAUAUAUUGGGCUAAUGGCAGAAGGUCUAAAUGAUUUUUUUUGAUGUGGACUUUCCUUCAGACCUUUGGAAACAUAAAAAAUGUUUUGUAUUUUUGAAGUCAAAUUUUCACAAUGACAAAUCAUUUUGAGCAUUGAGAACACUUUCUGGAGCCCUUGAAAGGGGUGAAGAAAUUCCCUGAAACUCUGGGGCAGAUGGUGCACGUGCCUUUUGGGUAGAAGGAGGAGUUACUUGAGCAUCUUUGGGCGACAUGGGAUGUCCAGCAUUCCCUUGUAAGGAUUGGCAACUUUUCACAAUUCCUUCGUCAUUUUUGGAAAAUUCCAAGGCCCUUUCGACAGAUGGAGAAGGUGUGGGACUCAGAUUUGUGUAAAUGAACACAGGCACCUGGGAGACCAGAAGAUUGAUAUCCCCUGGAGCUGCUUUUUCAGCUGGUUGCAAGUGGCUUCAUGGAUGUUGGAAACUGAACGUGUAUGCUCUUAAGAACAGUAAGUGCUCUUAACCAC